CAAUAGCGUAUAUUAAAGCUGUUGCAGUUAAAAGCUCGUAGUUGGAUCUCGGGUUUGGGCUUGUGGUCCACCACGUGUGGCUACUGCUCGUCUCGACCUACCUCCCGGUUUUCCCUUGGUGCUCUUAAGUGAGUGUCUCGGGUGGCCGGAACGUUUACUUUGAAAAAUUAGAGUGUUCAAGGCAGGCGCAUGCCUGCAUAAUGGUGCAUGGAAUAAUGGAAUAGGACCUCGGUUCUAUUUUGUUGGUUUUCGGAACUCGAGGUAAUGAUUAAGAGGGACAGACGGGGGCAUUCGUAUUACGGUGUUAGAGGUGAAAUUCUUGGAUCGCCGUAAGACGAACUACUGCGAAGCAUUUGUCCAAGAAUAGUUUUCUAUUAAUCAAGAACGAAAGUCAGAGGUUCGAAGAUGAUUAGAUACCAU
rnacentral:rRNA from 1 species